rnacentral:rRNA from 1 species
GACGAACGCUGGCGGCGUGCUUAACACAUGCAAGUCGAACGGAAAGGCCCUGCUUUUGUGGGGUUCUCGAGUGGCGCACGGGUGAGUGACACGUGAGUAACCUCCCCUUGACUUUGUGGUAACUUCAGGAAACUGGGGCUCAUACCCGGUAGGAUCUCCUGCUGCAUGGUGUGGGUUGGAAAGUUUCGGCGGUUUGGGCUGUACUCGCGGCUUAUCAGCUUGUUUGUGUGGUAGUGGCUUACCAAGGCUAUGACGGGUAGCCGGCCUGAGAGGGUGACCGGCCACAAUGGGACUGAGAGACGGCCCAGAAGCCUACGGGAGGCAGCAGUGGGGAAUAUUGCACAAUGGGCGGAAGCCAGAUGCAGCAACGCCGCGUGCGGGAUGACGGCCUUCGGGUGGUAAACCGCUGUCGCCUGUGACGAAGCGUGAGUGACGGUAAUGGGUAAAGAAGCACCGGCUAACUACGUG